rnacentral:rRNA from 1 species
GUAGUCUCGCACAGAUGCAUAUCAAUAAGCGGAGGAAAAGAAACUAACAAGGAUUCCCUUAGUAACGGCGAGUGAAGCGGGAAGAGCUCAAAUUUGAAAUCUUCAAGGUUUUACCUUGACGAAUUGUAGUUUAAAGAAGUGUUUUCUGUUGAAGUUUUGGUAAAAGUUCUUUGGAAUAGGACAUCAUAGAGGGUGAGAAUCCCGUAUUUGACCAUUUACUUUUCAGCUGUGUGAUACACUUUCAAAGAGUCGGAUUGUUUGGGAAUGCAGUCCAAAAUGGGUGGUAAAUUUCAUCUAAAGCUAAAUAUUGGCGAGAGACCGAUAGCGAACAAGUACCGUGAGGGAAAGAUGAAAAGAACUUUGAAAAGAGAGUUAAACAGUACGUGAAAUUGUCAAAAGGGAAGCGUUUGACACCAGUGUUGUUUUCUCGAAAAUCAAUUAAAAAGAGUUAGAUUUUGUUGUGUAUUGACCUUAACAGCUUGCAUUUCAAUUUUCUUGCUUUUUUAAUGCACUUUUCGUUUAACAAGUCAACAUCAGUUUCUUUUGUUGUAAAAAGGUCAUUGGAAGGUGGCUUUCUUUUCGGAGAGAGUGUUUAUAGCCUUUGACUCCUGCAAUCGGAGAGACCGAGGUCUGCAGCGUAGAUCCUUCGGGGUUAGAUACAUUUGUGCUAAGUUAUAGCUUUUUAUAGACAACUUGUUGACUAUGAUUAGUCUUGUAGCUUACUCGCUUAUGCUAUUUUACCUACGCUUAGGAUGUUGAGCGCAUGUCUCUCUCU